rnacentral:misc_RNA from 1 species
CCAGUAGUGUAGUAGUAGUGGUGGGUGGUAGUGGCGGCGCCCCAACACUGCUCUCUCUCUCUCUCACUUCCUCUUCUCAAACAUGCAAAAUACACUUCUCAAAUUUGCCUGAAGUAGUAGUAGUUAAAAAAUUUAGUUGCGACUAAAAAGCCUAAUCAGAAUAAAAGUUUCCUGCGUGUGGAUAUAUAAAAUAUAGCAUGGCGCCAAAUGAGAAUGCAGAGAAUGGGGUACCGGUGUCUGGAGAGUGUUUGGACCUGCUAGAGCGGGAGUACCCCGCUGGUGUGAAGCCCCAGGUAGUUAGAGGUCAGUACGGGUCACACAACACACACUUCAGGUCACCGGCCUGUGAAAACGCGCGAGCUGUAACUAAGCAGGUAGCGGCCGGAGCAUUCGCCUCACUUUCAGCCGUAAGCAUAGGCUUCAUCACAGCCUAUUCCUCCCUGACACUCCCACAGCUCAGGAACGACACGUCCAUUGAUUACGUUGACGCCAGAGACUCAGGAUGGAUAGCGUCCCUGCCGUCCAUAUCAUCUAUCCUGGGGUCGUUGUUGGGGGGCGUGAUGAUGGACGCCGUGGGCCCGCGCAUGACGCUGCUCCUGACGGCGCUGCCCUGUCUGCUCUCCUGGUCCUUCAUCUCUUUCGCCAACUCUGUCUCUCUCAUCUACGUCGGCCGCCUGAUCACCGGCGUCUUCCUUGGUAUAUUCUCCCCCGUGCCGCAGGUGUACGCUACAGAGAUCGCUGAGCCUCGCAUUCGUGGUCUGCUGGGAGCCUUCCCCGAAGCCGCCGUCGCUCUCGGCUCCCUCUUGUGCUACGCCUUCGGAGCUGUGACGGACUGGCGGUGGCUGGCGGGGGUGUCGGCGCUGGUGCCUUGUCUGCCUCUCUUCGUCUCCAUGAUCUUCCUCCCAGAGUCUCCACAGUGGCUCACCAAGAAGGCCCAGCUGAGAAAGGCCGAGCACUCUCUCAGAUUCUUCAGGAGGAAAUCUCACAACGUGAACGCUGAAAUCAACAUUAUCUACACUAACAUCAUGGCUACAGACGGCGCCGAAAUCUCCGUUUGGGAGCAACUGAAGCUCUUCAGGAAGCCUCAGAACUGGAAGCCGGUGCUGAUCGUGUUCCUCGUGUUCAUGUGUGGACAGUUCAGCGGGUUUGCUGUGGUUACCGCCUACACUGUCGAUAUCUUCAAUGAGGCCAACACCAACACUGAUGCCAACACUGCUACAGUCAUUGUUGGCUUGGUGAGGUUCAUAUCAACGCUAGUGAGCGCUGGACUACUGGACCGGGCGGGCCGCAAGCCUCUCCUAAUCAUCUCCUCUAUUGGCUCCUGUGUAGGAAUGGUGUCCAUAGGCACCUUCUUCUACCUCAAGGAGGUUGGCUUCACUGAGAGCAUCAGCUGGCUGCCUCUCGCCUCUCUCCUCAUCUACGUCUUCUUCAACGAGCUGGGAUACGGCCCCAUCCCCUGGCUGCUUUCCGGAGAACUUAUUCCUCUGGCGGUAAGAACCAUAGGAAACGGCGUGGCCGUCACUGCUUACUCCUUCUUCGCCUUCGUUAUCGGCUUGACGUUCCCACUCUUGACGGACGUGAUGAGUACCUACGUCGUCUUCUGGAUGUACGCCUUCUUCAGCCUCUCCGGCGUGGCCCUGGGCAUCUUCCUGCCAGAGACACGAGGCAAGACGCUGGAGGAGAUCGAGAAGUUCUUCGCUCCAGCACCUUCAAAGGAAGAAGUCCCGCUCACUAAAGAUAUCACUCCUUAACGGAUAUGAGCUUAGAGCCUCGUUAUUAACCCUUAAACUGCGCAGCAGUUUAAAAGCACCACAUUGAGGUGCACUAAAAAUGGUAAAUAAAAUAGGACAAAAUCGCAUAUGGGCAUUUGGAGCAGUGUACGGGUUAGUGUAUUACACACGCUACUUUCUUUUCUAUAAACAGAUCUAUCUUUAACAUUUUGACAUACUUGUCUCUCGAGAGAGAAUGGCGUCAUUUGCUGGGAGGCUUGUAGGACGCUUGUUUCAUCUGUCAAAUGAUGUGUUGAGUAUUUACCUGCGGGCCUGAACCACUUCCAUACGAAGCGCAGUGGAUCGAAUGAUAGUAUAGAGCAUUCUCCUCUUAUCUACCACCACAAGUCCGUCGUCCAGCUGAACAUGUUUCUCUACUCCGGUAAGGAGCGCCACCAUUAUUCACUACACACACUAAGCUGAUUUGUCAGGCGAGAUCUACAUCACCCUUCGUCCUCUUCUCUCACCAAACACUUCAUGGCAUCAAACACCACACAACCAAGACCUUUGUUGCAGGUCAUUACUGGCGUCUGGAAGUGGGGCUCCAGCCUGCACCUGAGUCUCUAGGUGUUACAGGUCAUUACUGGCGUCUGGAAGUGGGGCUCCAGCCUGCAUCUGAGUCUCUAGGUGUUACAGGUCAUUACUGGCGUCUGGAAGUGGGGCUCCAGCCUGCACCUGAGUCUCUAGGUGUUGCAGGUCAUUACUGGCGUCUGGAAGUGGGGCUCCAGCCUGCACCUGAGUCUCUAGGUGUUACAGGUCAUUACUGGCGUCUGGAAGUGGGGCUCCAGCCUGCACCUGAGUCUCUAGGUGUUACAGGUCAUUACUGGCGUCUGGAAGUGGGGCUCCAGCCUGCAUCUGAGUCUCUAGGUGUUGCAGGUCAUUACUGGCGUCUGGAAGUGGGGCUCCAGCCUGCACCUGAGUCUCUAGGUGUUGCAGGUCAUUACUGGCGUCUGGAAAUGGGGCUCCAGCCUGCACCUGAGCAUCCAGACGUCAGGUUCAGCUGGACAGGGGCCUCUAAGGCAUGACAGUGAGACAGACAGAGCAGGAUACAACUGUGUCUGUAUACUGUGCUUCUGAGGCCCGUUCAAGGGCGACGUUUCAAUUUGUUUGGGUCUACGCAGCCUCGUGAUUUGUCGUACAGUGGCUCAUUUGAUUACUGUGACUGGAGUUAGUCGCUACUGUCUUCUAAUGUAACUCAUUCCACUACUACCCUUAUGUUGAAGUAAUGUUAUAUUACAGCCCUGACAUAUCUAGGUUACCAGCGUUCACAUGUGUUCUUUCGUGAUAGUUCAACCCAUGUCGAACACUUUGUCUGUCUCUGUAUAUCUUGUAUGCUGCGGUUAGGUCUCCUCUGAAUCUCCUAUUUCCAUAGCUUUGUGAUACUAAGAACUCUUUUACACUAAGAUCAUUCCCCAUUUCUCAUAUUUCUGGUACUGGCUUAAUGCUCACCUUUCAACACUUAACUUUCACGAAUGAAUUAUUAGGUGCAAGUUCCAAUACGCACUGUUCCUCUGGGGCCAGAUUCAC